GACGAACGCUGGCGGCGUGCUUAACACAUGCAAGUCGAACGGAAAGGCCCUGCUUUUGUGGGGUGCUCGAGUGGCGAACGGGUGAGUAACACGUGAGUAACCUGCCCUUGACUUUGGGAUAACUUCAGGAAACUGGGGCUAAUACCGGAUAGGAGCUCCUGCUGCAUGGUGGGGGUUGGAAAGUUUCGGCGGUUGGGGAUGGACUCGCGGCUUAUCAGCUUGUUGGUGGGGUAGUGGCUUACCAAGGCUUUGACGGGUAGCCGGCCUGAGAGGGUGACCGGCCACAUUGGGACUGAGAUACGGCCCAGACUCCUACGGGAGGCAGCAGUGGGGAAUAGUGCACAAUGGGCGGAAGCCUGAUGCAGCAACGCCGCGUGCGGGAUGACGGCCUUCGGGUUGUAAACCGCUUUCGCCUGUGACGAAGCGUGAGUGACGGUAAUGGGUAAAGAAGCACCGGGUAACUACGUG
rnacentral:rRNA from 1 species